GUGCUCGCUUCAGCAGCACAUAUAGUAAAAUUGGAACAAUACAGAGAGGAUUAAGAUGGUUCCUGCACAAGGAUGACAUGUAAAUUCAUGAGAUAUUUUUUAUUUUU